UUUUUCACUCACGGAAUAAGUUAAAAUGCUGACAGCUUACAACAGAACAGGGAAAAAAUAAUCAUCUGCUGUGGGCGUAAGGUUUCACAAGCAGAUACUCUUAGUUCUCUGUUAGCUACAGAAAGUUUUGAAGUUGCUUUUUGUGGAUUACUGCACACACUGACUGCCAGUCAUCUGUUGAACCAUCUGUUAAUAGGAAACAUUUGUCUCCUGAACUGAAUAUACAAGUUAUUUUCUCUUAACUCUCCAAUCUUACCAGCUCCCACUAAAUAAAAUGGGGAAUGAGACUUCACGCUCAAAUACCCACGUGGCCAACGCAACCGGGAAGCAUCUUCGGAUUUUCUAUGGAGUGGAUACAAUGAGGCUGGAAGAAAUGGUGUUAAAUGCGGGGGGAGAGAUAGGAGGUACAGCAUCAAAAACUGAACAGUCAGUAUCAGGGAAGAUUUCCAGCGACGUGAAGAUGGUUUUUAAACCAGACUCCCGGAUCCGUUACCUUCACCUGCCGGAGAACGAGACGUGUAACUUUGCCGGGGAAGGCACCAUCUAUGCCUCUGUCCUUGUGGAAGAUAAAAACAACAACAAAAACUGCACUGAAAUCAUCUGCCACAAUUUCCAUAUCCCCAGCGACCGGUCUUUCAUUGUGACUGCUAAGCAUAGCAUCAAAUUGCAGAAGUAUGGUGCAAACAUUUGGGUUGACGAAGAAGGCCAUAACCAUCACCCUUAACUUUCCUCAUCAUCAUCCUCCUCCAUUAUCAUGUCAAGUUCUAAUUUUGAUAAGCAGAUAAGAUGGCCAUUUUGGCGAGGUCAAUUGGAAUAUUAAUAGUUUAGAUCAGUGGUUCUCAGCCUUUUUGACUCCAAGGCACCCCACUGUCCAAGACAAUAUUUGAAGGCCUCCUCCCAGAAACUAGACGUGUCUGAUUAAAAUAAUUAGUAAUGGAUAAUUUUUGAUUCUAGAAAUUCAGAAAGAGUCUGUUUAUAAUUUGUAGGUAUACAUCUUAAAGUAUUUAUUAGCAUUUUAAUUAAGUAGAAUUAUUUUAAUAUUUCUUAUUUAAAAUUAAUUUUAAGUCAUCUUGAGGCCACCUUGGAAGUGUGCUGAGGCCCCCUAGUGGGUCUCCUGGUUGAGAACCACUGGUUUAGAUAACAAAAUCGAUAUGUUUUUGACAACAAAGUAUGUAAGAAAUUUUUUUGUCUGGUAUUAAUUAAAGGAUUGUAUUUUAUAUAUGUGCUCUGAAAUAUAAAAAGCAAUGGGGACCUUUAAAAUGUUGUAAACACUUUAUUUCAUCAUUGUUAGAAACAUAAGGUGAAUAUUUCUUCUAAUGAAAACAUCUAUGCAUCAAACCUGAUAUUUGUUAUAUUAUUACAAUAACACGUAUGUAGGCUGCACAGUGACACUGCGAAUAAAAAACAUUGAAGAAGUAUAGUAAAGACACAAAUAUUUUCAACCAAUGGAGUCAAAUCCAUACCACAUAUAUUUGCAAAAAUAGAAAGUUUUGCAAAAGAAAAAAAGUAUUGACAAAAAAAAAAUAUUUUGUUGUAAACAAAAAUUAAGUAUCACAAAAGAAAAAUAAAGUUUUGCAAACAAAAAUAAAGAACUGCAAAAUAUAAAUAAAAUAUAGCAAAAAAUAAAGAUAUAAUUAAUUGAAAAAAUCAAUGAAUGUUGUAAAAGAAACUUAAGAACUUUGAUCCUUUUUAUCUCUGCAACAGAUUUUUAGCAGCAAUGAUUUUGCCACACAGUAAAGAUCCUUUUAAUCUGCGUUUCCAUCAAGUGUGAGCUCGUGAUACCGUUUUGCCUUUGUGCUUCACUUUUCUGUGCGUUUCACUUUAUGGCACUGUUUUGACGUGUGGGCGGAGUCAGGGGAUUGGGGCGUGUACAACGGGCUCAAGUUACGUCAUUAACUUGAGACACGGAUCAAUCAUCAUGGCCGAGCAGAGGCAUGAGGGUGGAUCUUAGGUAUGUAAAGUUGAUUGUUUCCUUUUAUUUAAUUAGCAUGAAAUGUGUAUUACCAGUGUUUACUUCAGAUAAAGAAGUUAGAGAUCAGUUAAAGCGGUGGAUUUAUUAGCCAUACUCGCUAACGUUAGCUAGCAGCUUUGGAUAGUGUACAUAUUUGUAAGUAACUAUUAGUGCUAACAGAUAAUUGACAAUCCUCUGAUGUCAAACAACAAACACGCUGUCAACAAGUCAUUUGUGUCUGUAUAGCAACUACACAGAAAGUAAUAUUAUAACAAAUUAAGCUGUAAUUUCCAUAAUAUCUUGUAGUCAAGAAGACCAUACAACCCUUAUUUUGCGUUUUGUAUAUUUCAUAACUAAUUUAAACUGUUACUAUUUAGGGCAGUGGGCACAAUGAUGCCAUCAGUGUUGAACUGGGAAAGAUGAUAAUGGAGAGACUGCUCUCCAAACUGCAGUAUGCAAUGAAUCGCCAACCAUUGGAUUUAGACUACUUUCAGUUUGUAUGCAACCAUGAGCUUCUUUUCAUCACCUCUGUGCAUAAUCAAAUUACAGUCCCAGAAGAACUUUUUAAUGAACUCUCAACCUUAAAAAACACAGUGGAGAGGCAUAUUGCAAAUAACAGUGCACCCAUAACUGCCCUUGAAGUGCAAUAUGGAGUAAAUGGACCUCCAAGGUUUAUUAUUUCCAGAGAGCAUCUUGAGAAACUAGUGAAUAUGCAGCUGUCUGUUCCAUGUAUUGCCCAGCUCCUUGGUGUGUCAACAAGGACUGUCAAUCGUCAUCUCAAUGAGUAUGGCAUUUCUGUAAAAGACACCUACUCUAAGAUCACAGAUGAGGAGCUUGACAACUUAGUUCGGUGAAGGCUGAAAGUCCACACCUAGGACAUAGAAUGAUGAAAGGACGGUUGCAAGCACUAGGUCACCGUGUGUCAUUGACAAGAGGAUGGGACUCCAUACAUCGAAUGGUGGAAUACUUGCAAGAAUGACACAGUUGAGGUGUAUAGUCAGAAGGAUUAUUCUGUGCGGGGCCCUCAUGUUGUUCACAUAGACACAAACUUAUAAGGUAUGGCCUUGUGAUUUUCGGUGCCAUUGAUGGCUACUCCAGAAAGAUCAAGUACCUUGGAGCUGCUACAGAUAAAGCAGCAACUGUUUUUGGUUUUUUUCCUUCAGUCAGUGGAGAGAGAUUGGUUUCCAUUAAGCAUUGAACGCCUUGGCGUGACAUAUGGAUGACAGUUACAAACAUCUUCUAUGAUGUCUUACACACUCUUGAGGAGGAAGGGUUACUUGAUCCAACCAACAGCCUGGACCUGUUUUGUUGUCAUUUUGUGUUCCUGCCUCACCUCCAGGCCAACCUUGAAUCCUUCACUUGUGGUUGGAAUAGCCAUCCUCUCCGCACAGAGGGCAAUCUGAGCCCCAACCAAAUGUGGGAAAUUGGGCUCAUUCAAAACCCUGUCACUCCUCCAGAAUCCCAUAGUUUAUAAAUUAAUUUGUUCUGUGCAAUUUCAUUUAUAGCACUUUCACCUAAUGUAUUGCACCAAUAAAACAUAAGUUGAUAAUAGUUUGACAUGUUUUCACAGAAUGUCCAGACCAGCCAUCCAGAGGAAUUGUAGGUCCUCCAGUUGAAUGCCCUUUGACUGAAGAACAUAUGGCCCAGCUUCAAUCUGUUAUUGACCAACCUCACAAUCUCAGAACUAUGGGAGGGACAAAUAUUUAGCUGUACUAAAUUUUGUGCUCCUUCAUUCUUAACUGACAGAGCACUUUACAAAGAAUCAUGACCAAAUCACUCCGUAGGCAGGACAGUUAUUCCCAAUUCAUUCGGAUUUUGUAAAAAAAAAAAAAAUAAAUAAAAAAAAAAUUUAAUAAAUAAAAAAAUCACAA